rnacentral:ribozyme from 1 species
GUCAUCCAAAAGAGCAACCUCCACGAGGUGGAUGACGGGCAACGCAGAUACAUCUGUGGCUAAUACUCUU